AACAUGGUGUUCUUGUUCACUCUUACUUUAGUUUGUGCAGGAGAUAGUUGAUUUUGAAUUGUUUGGUAUUUUUGUGCUUGUGUAUGUGGUUGCUUUGUUUUUUGACCUGCUGCCUAGCAGCGCGGCAGGUUGAGGAUGGCGACAUGUGCAAAAUGAUUAAGAAGAGAAAAUAUAGUCUAGAACAACUGACCAUAGAAUUGGAGGCUUUGGGUGUUCCGCUCAAGACAGAGAUAAUGAAAAUAAAAGCAGGAGGAAGGUCAAAAAGGAGCUAUAAAAGCUCCUCAUUACAGAGGAAUUGAGGAGAGCUACGUACGCUGGACCAGAGAUACUUGAGGAAAGAAGACAAAGGCCGACCCUGCCUUUCCCAAUUCCAGAUGACAUAAUGAAUGUGUUGAAAGAGCUGAUGCGUUACACUCAAAAAAUAAUGUCCUGGACAGCACUCUGAGUGAAUUCUGACACUGUGAAGAGCUAUGUGAGAGUGGAGAGAGAACAUGAACUUAAUGAAAAUGUGGUUUUGGUGAACAUCCUGAAGGCCCUGGAACCUCCUCAGGGUCUAACACUGGUAUGUCCUGAGGACCUAAAAAAAGAUAAGAUGGACAAAAUGGCAAAGGAUGGUACGUAACAGCAAAAAUGAUUUACAGUAGCUAGUUGAUUAGAAAAAGUAGAAAAACAAAAAUCUUGUUUCUGACUGAAUUUCCACCAGAACAUAUUUCCACCAUAUGCAUAUAGAUGUGAAUAUAGCAAGUGUGAAUAUAGGAAGGAACUUAACACUUAAAAUGGCCCCUGGUUUGCAAAUGGAUGGAGGAAAGAAAAAAAUGUGUUGAGGCAUUCGACCAGAGACAAGCAGAAGGAAA